rnacentral:rRNA from 1 species
ACAACUUUCAGCAACGGAUCUCUUGGCUCUCGCAUCGAUGAAGAACGCAGCGAAAUGCGAUAAGUAAUGUGAAUUGCAGAAUUCAGUGAAUCAUCGAAUCUUUGAACGCACCUUGCGCUCCUUGGUAUUCCGAGGAGCACACCUGUUUGAGUGUCAUGAAAUUCU